CGCGACCCGCAGCAAUGCGGGCCGUGACGAUGCAGAAGUCAGCAGCGGCCAUAGUAGGUAUUGGGGAGUCGCAGUACCGAAGGGC
rfam:Rhodoferax antarcticus ANT.BR grfa_new.contig.9_1, whole genome shotgun sequence.